rnacentral:tRNA from 1 species
AAAGUGGCUGAGUUUAAAGCGUUAAUCUCUUAAAUUAAUUAGGAGAAAUUUAGUU